UCGAUCGUAAACCCUAAAAAUGUAUAUUUUCAAACCAUAUGUAUAAUAAAUUACAACAAUAAUCAAACCAUAUGCAUAUUUUCAAUAUCCGUGUAUGAGUAAUAUCUCGUUUUCAAUUUCAAUGUUAUUUAUACUCCAUCCAGUUAGGGUUUUGGACGGCGCUCGAAGGAAUUGGGGUUUUGUAACUGGAUCGUAUUGGCCAACAUUCUCUUUGCAUAUCAGGUUCUUGUAAGAGUAUAUGCACGGGAAACCAUGGACAGGUUUGCUAUUAUUAGACGUUAAGCCUCUUUGUUAGCUGUUUCACAUUGGGGAUAGAGUUUGUCAGCAGUCUCUUCGUAAUGAUGGUUGUAAGUGUUGUUGGCUCUCAGGUUCUGAUGUUUUUUAUGUGACCAAUGGGUCAUAGCUACAAUAGCAACAAUAGGAUGACCAUAUUUGAAAUCUGUAGUCAUCAACCAAGGAAUGUAUGAUGUCAGGUUCAAUAUUAUGUAUGUUUUAUUUUUAUAAUUAUUUUUCUGACUUUCAAAA